rnacentral:rRNA from 1 species
UACGGCGGUGGCAAGCGUUGUUCGGAAUUACUGGGCGUAAAGGGCGCGUAGGCGGCUAGGCAAGUCAGGUGUGAAAGCCCCGAGCUUAACUCGGGAACUGCAUCUGAAACUGCUGGGCUUGAGUUCUGGAGGGGGUAGUGGAAUUCCCAGUGUAGCGGUGAAAUGCGUAGAUAUUGGGAGGAACACCUGCGGCGAAGGCGGCUACCUGGACAGAAACUGACGCUGAGGCGCGAAAGCUAGGGGAGCGAACGGG